AGCAUUAUGUGAUAUGUAGUUCACAUUAUCUGGAGAGCCAAAGGUUGCUUACACCUGCUGUAGAGUAUAACAUAUGGAAGACCAUUCAGACAAUCCACAAAACAAAUGUACAGGAACGUAUGAUUACGGUGGAAAUACAUUUUCUGUGUUCUACCCAAAAGAUAGAAAAGUGCCCUCUACAGUAGGUUAAGGAGACAGUGGUGUCACAUCUUGCAGCUUAGCCUCCAUUCUGAAGAGUGAUACAAGUUUCACACCUUGUCCACUUUCAAGACUUUGUUUGGUAAUGUCUAAAUCUAUUGAAAUCUACUGUAUAUUGCUG